rnacentral:rRNA from 1 species
GCAUGGACGAAGUCUGACGGAGCACGCCGCGUGAGUGAUGAAGGUUUUCGGAUCGUAAAACUCUGUUGUUAGGGAAGAACAAGUACAAGAGUACUGCUUGUACCUUGACGGUACCUAACCAGAAAGCCACGGCUAACUACCUGCCAGCAGCCGCGGUAAUACGUAGGUGGCAAGCGUUGUCCGGAAUUAUUGGGCGUAAAGCGCGCG